rnacentral:misc_RNA from 1 species
GAUGAAGAACGUAGCGAAAUGCGAUAAGUAAUGUGAAUUGCAGAAUUCAGUGAAUCAUCGAAUCUUUGAACGCACCUUGCGCCCCUUGGUAUUCCGAGGGGCAUGCCUGUUCGAGCGUCAUUACACCACUCAAGCUAUGCUUGGUAUUGGGCGUCGUCCUUAGUUGGGCGCGCCUUAAAGACCUCGGCGAGGCCACUCCGGCUUUAGGCGUAGUAGAAUUUAUUCGAACGUCUGUCAAAGGAGAGGAACUCUGCCGACUGAAACCUUUAUUUUUCUAGGUUGACCUCGGAUCAGGUAGGGAUACCCGCUGAACUUAAGCAUAUCAAUAAGCGGAGGA